UGUGUGUGUACCUCUCCUCAGUAAUAACCAGGCGGUCAGUCUCUAGGUUGUGUGUGUGUACCUCUCCUCAGUAAUAACCAGGCGGUCAGUCUCUAGGUUGUGUGUGUACCUCUCCUCAGUAAUAACCAGGCGGUCAGUCUCUAGGUUGUGUGUGUACCUCUCCUCAGUAAUAACCAGGCGGUCAGUCUCUAGGUUGUGUGUGUACCUCUCCUCAGUAGUAACCAGGCGGUCAGUCUCUAGGUUGUGUGUGUACCUCUCCUCAGUAAUAACCAGGCGGUCAGUCUCUAGGUUGUGUGUGUGUACCUCUCCUCAGUAAUAACCAGGCGGUCAGUCUCUAGGUUGUGUGUGUACCUCUCCUCAGUAAUAACCAGGCGGUCAGUCUCUAGGUUGUGUGUGUACCUCUCCUCAGUAAUAACCAGGCGGUCAGUCUCUAGGUUGUGUGUGUACCUCUCCUCAGUAAUAACCAGGCAGUCAGUCUCUAGGUUGUGUGUGUGUGUGUACCUCUCCUCAGUAAUAACCAGGCGGUCAGUCUCUAGGUUGUGUGUGUACCUCUCCUCAGUAAUAACCAGGCGGUCAGUCUCUAGGUUGUGUGUGUACCUCUCCUCAGUAAUAACCAGGCGGUCAGUCUUCAGGGCGGUCUCCAGGUUGUGUGUGUGUGUACCUCUCCUCAGUAAUAACCAGGCGGUCAGUCUCUAGGUUGUGUGUGUACCUCUCCUCAGUAAUAACCAGGCGGUCAGUCUUCAGGGCGGUCUCCAGGUUCUGUGUCUGCAGCAGUAGUUUGUCUACCGUCACAGAGUGCUGCUUCCUCUGUUGUUCCAUCUCUCUCUCUGAUGCUGCCAACGCCUCCCGAGUACUGCUCAGCCUAAC